rnacentral:tRNA from 1 species
AAAAAGGUAAGCUAAAUAAAGCUAAUGGAUUCAUACUUCAUUUAUAAAGGUUAUUCCUUUCCUUUUUA